GCCUGGGUGGCUCAGUGGGUUGGGCGUCUGACUUUGGCUCAGGUCAUGAUCUUGUGGUUGGUGGGUUCGAGCCCUGCCUCGGGCC
rnacentral:tRNA from 1 species